rnacentral:rRNA from 1 species
UACGAAGGGGGCUAGCGUUGCUCGGAAUCACUGGGCGUAAAGCGCACGUAGGCGGCUUCUUAAGUCAGGGGUGAAAUCCUGGAGCUCAACUCCAGAACCGCCUUUGAUACUGAGAAGCUUGAGUCCGGGAGAGGUGAGUGGAACUGCGAGUGUAGAGGUGAAAUUCGUAGAUAUUCGCAAGAACACCAGUGGCGAAGGCGGCUCACUGGCCCGGUACUGACGCUGAGGUGCGAAAGCGUGGGGAGCAAACAGG